GAGAAAACUUUUAGUUCGAUUAUUUGCCACUUGGCAACGUCUUAGUUUAAGUCAAAUUCUCUUCCUUAUAUUCCCCGCACUCUUUUCCCCAUUGUCUCGUCUGCUAUUUAAUGGAAGUCUAAAACCACGCGAGUGACACUUCUCGUUUUUGGUUAUCCCCGAACAUAAUUCUAUUUUUGUGUGUGUUCUUAUUCUGUCAAUCAGUUUUAUAUUGAUUUGGCCUGUCUAUUGGUCUAUGUCUAUUCUGGCCAGUGAGUGUUUGGUUAACCAACUCACCUGGUUUUGCUCUUUGUCUCUUUAUCUGUGGUUCAUGGUCUGAGUGGCAUCCCAAUAUUUUAGUCGUGCCAUCCCAGAUACCAUUUGGAUUUAUUCUUAUUCACUGGUUUAAUCCCUGUCACAUUGGCAUUUGGCUAUUUGUGACUGGUAUCAUUGCGACUCACUUGCUAUCAAUCAUCAUCUUAAUCAGAAAUACAUACGAGUGCCUUACAAACACUCUUGAGUAAAGUAA